rnacentral:piRNA from 1 species
UGUGCUAAUUUGGGCCGAGCUGGCGCC